CAACAAACCUCGGCGACAUCCUACGCUCGCCAAAAGUGCGAGCGUUCCUUGCCAGCCAGAUCUGGUGGGCGGUGCAAGUCGCUCGGAUAGCCUCCUGACAUGUCCGGGGACUAGCCAGCCACUGACGUAUCAUCUGUAGAAACAGUCUCCUCUCCCGCCAAACCUCCUCUGGGAUACCCGUCCACUGCCAUGUCUGCCUCGCCCAAAAGCAUCCAAAUAGUACAUGAUCAACUGACUCAUCCGCACCGCAGGCCCCACACUCCGCAGGGAUCCCCAGACCACGUCGGCUCAGCACAGCUCUCGUCGGAAGGCGGUCCCACAUCACCUUCCAUAGAAAAAGUGCUGC
rnacentral:lncRNA from 1 species